rnacentral:rRNA from 1 species
AUUGAACGCUGGCGGCAGGCCUAACACAUGCAAGUCGAGCGGAUGAAGGAAGCUUGCUCCUGGAUUCAGCGGCGGACGGGUGAGUAAUGCCUAGGAAUCUGCCUGGUAGUGGGGGAAAACGUCCGGAAACGGGCGCUAAUACCGCAUACGUCCUGAGGGAGAAAGUGGGGGAUCUUCGGACCUCACGCUAUCAGAUGAGCCUAGGUCGGAUUAGCUAGUUGGUGGGGUAAAGGCCUACCAAGGCGACGAUCCGUAACUGGUCUGAGAGGAUGAUCAGUCACACUGGAACUGAGACACGGUCCAGACGCCUACGGGAGGCAGCAGUGGGGAAUAUUGGACAAUGGGCGAAAGCCUGAUCCAGCCAUGCCGCGUGUGUGAAGAAGGUCUUCGGAUUGUAAAGCACUUUAAGUUGGGAGGAAGGGCAGUAAGUUAAUACCUUGCUGUUUUGACGUUACCAACAGAAUAAGCACCGGCUAACUUCGUG